rnacentral:lncRNA from 1 species
AAAAAUCUUGCUGGCAUAUGCAAUAGUGUCUGCAUUUGGUGGUUGAAUAUGGUAUGGAUCCCCGGAUGGGGCAGUCUCUGCAUAGUCCAGAUAGGAUUCUUAUAUACAAUUUUGGGGUGGGUAAGGGUCUGACAACACAUACAUCUCAUUGGUUUGGUCUGAGAGCUUUGGGGAAACCGUAUUUGCAUGUGGGAGGGCUUGGUACUGCUCCUACAUGACUGAUGGCCACAUACCUUUCUGCUGGGGGAUUGUGGGAGGCUGCACCUGCAACAGGAGCAGGGGCAGGCCUGGCUGAACACCUUCCAUUUUCCAGGCAGGUGGAAAUCACCACCCACUGGGUCACCAAGGUUCCAGAACUUUGCUCCACCAGGGACAAGGCUGUCUGUGCACAGCCCACCACCCCACAAUUUUUUUUUGUUUUGUUUUGUUUUUUUUUUUCCCUGUCUUCAGUAAAUUUGCUUCCGGCCUUUAACACUUAAGAAACAAAUGUUCAGUUUACUUUUACCCUUCAAAAAUACUUUAAAAAAUACUUUAACAUAAGGUUGAUUCAGUAUCAGGAAGAUGUACGUAGAACACUAUUGCUGCUGAAUCUUUAAGUUCUUUAGAGACUAAAUACAUUUUAAGGUGACGUACAAUAAUUUUUCUCCAGAACAGGAGGAAAUUUAGUCAAUAAUCUUUGCUGUGUUCAUAAUAGUCUAUUGUCUAAAAACUUGUGUUUACUCUUCUGUAGGAAACUGCUCAUCUCAAUAAACCUUUCCCUAUCUGACUCACUGUGCAUUUACAUCUUAGGUUCGUUUUAGGUGAGAAUUUCCACAUAUCAAGAAAUGAAUAUGCCAAAAUAUUUUCAACUUGUCUGAACACUUCAUUUUUUUAAAUACUUUUGGCUCAAAACACCAUAGCAAUUAUCAGGGAAAAAAGCCUUUAUUGUACUACUAUAAAUAGUCAGAGGCUUUAUUUUCAAGCAGAGUGAAUUAUAUAUUACAUUUAAGUGUCAAAUUAUCAUUUCAGGAAACACAUCAGGGGAAGCAAGCAAUGUUAGUCGUGUUAUUUAAACCAAAGUGUAAAAACAGAAAUUAGCAUGAAAUACCCUCCUGCCAUUCAUUCAACAGAAAAGAAUUUAAAAGAAAAUGAGCAAUAAAAAUAUGCAAUAACAACUGGCAUAGGCUGCUGCUUGUUAGAUUUAACACAGCACUACCCUGUUCUUCCUAUAAAGAAUUGCAGUUAUAAUCUCAACGGCACAGUUUGAUGCCAUUGAUUAAAUAAUACUCCUGUUAACACAUAAAACAGCAGCAACAUAAGCAACACCAUAAUAAAAAGAUUACUGUGCAUGUUAUAGAUAGACAGUGAAAUACAAGUUUCUAAGGCUUUGUAAAUAUUAUAAUUUGGAGAGAAGUUAAAAUGAUGGUCCAUUGAUUUCUAUAUACCCUUUUCUGUAUUGUUUAGGAAGUCAAACAGAAGUGUUGUCUAAUAAGUUACUCUCAGAGCAAAAUCAUGAAAGUAUUUUCUGGGAAAUUAUUAUUGUUUUUUAACUGACAGGCUUCAUGUUUCAAAUGAUUUUUGUCUGUGAACAUAAUUUGCACAGCGACAUGAUAGGACUGGAAAUAAACAUGAAGAAUUGAUUUAUGAUGAACUUAAGGACUGCUUGAAAGUUACAGUGGUUUUCAGAACAUGGCAUUCACUAUAAGUGCCCUGACACUUUGAAAAUUCUUUCUUAAUUUUUUUUCCAAUUAGUCACACUUAAAAGAGACUGAAAGAACUUGGUUUUGCCAAAAGCAGGUAUUGCUAUCCAAAGCAGAACUAAGUAUUGCGAAAUUCUAAAGCCAUUUAUGAGAUGAUUCUGCUUUCUAAUUCAUAUUCCCAUUACUCCUAAUUUUCGAAACUGGACAUCAGUUUAUUUGUUUUUUGUUUGUUUGUUGUUGUUAUUGUUUUAAUUUUUAUUGGUUGUUUUGUUUAUUUACAUUUCAAAUGUUAUCCCCCUUCCCGGUUUCCUCUCUGAGAAACCUCCAUCCCACGUCCUCCGCUCUGCCUCCACAAGGGUGCUCCUUAUUCUUCCUGAAAGGCUUGGCCAAAGCCUUACUUACAGAUACAGAUGCAGAUGCUCACAGCUAGCCAUCCCGAUUGAGCAAGGGAACCCCAAUAGAGGAAUAAGGGGAAGGACUGAAGGAUCUGAAGGGAGUUGUAACCCCAUAGGAAGAACAACAAUAUCAAUCAACUAGACACCCCAGGGACUAAACCACCAACCAAAGAGUACACAUGGAGGGACCAAUGGCUCCAGCUGCAUAUGUAGCAGAGGAUGGCCUUGUCUGUCACCAAAGGGAGGGAAGGCCCUUGGUCCUGUAAAACAGUACAUCUUACAUUUUCCCUAACAUUGGGAGCUGACAAGAUCUAUGAACUUCCAUCCCUAACAGCAGGGUAAUAAUCAUUUCUACUGUCUUCCAAAGCAUGACUUUUUAAGUAACCUAACAAUUUACCUUUUCUUUAUGAAAUCAAAGUCUCUUGGUUUGUUUUACAGCACAGCUUUUAUUUGAUAUCACACCCAAAGGCAAACACGUAAGUCUAAGGGGAUGUGUAGUUAGGUUGAUAAGUAGAGCAAAAGCCAGUGAGCAGGAGUAUAGUAAAUAAAAUCACACAGAAGAGGAGUGGGUGGGGUCUAUAGGUGUUUCUGAAUUUUUCAGGCAGAUUUCAAAGACUUCACUGACCCCAAAUAUCCGAGUCUCAUAGUUUGCUUCUCAGAGAUGUCUGCUCCAAGUAAUGUGUACGGGACACAUGGUACCUGACGCCCACUUUUAUUUCUUCUUCACCACAACUUCUCCUCAAAUGGUUCUUUCUGUGACCUCAUGAAAGGCUUCCACAGAAGGCACAGGUGCACAUUGUCAUGCUGAAAAAAAAUGAGGUGGCGGGAGACCGAAUGCAGAGAAAAAACAAAGAUCUGACCCAUUGUCAUUGAGCUGCACAAAUAAAGAAGAUAUUGCCACACCAGUGUUUGUCUGGUGCCUCCCUUCUUUAUUAAAACAGACAUCACACAAUUGUGACAUUAUCCUGAAUUCAAAGUUUAUAUAGAAAGAGCACUUGCCAUCAACCUUAAAGUUGCCCAGUUUUAUUUUUAGUCUGCUU